GCCAGCGUCGCAUAAUUCGGUAUUGCGCGGGUCUUGAAAACCCGUGGCUUCGGCCAUUCCCGGUUCAAAUCCGGGCGCUGGCG
rnacentral:tRNA from 1 species